AUGGUUUGGUUGGGCGCCCCCGAUCAGGGCGCGAGUCAGGGGCCCGUUCGACCCGUUGGGCUCGAACGGGAGAGAGAUCAACCUAACACAGAUAACUCUCGAUCUUCAGUAUGGCGCCUCAAGUUCUGGAACGUAACCCCGCAUCCAAAACGACAUGAUCGCUCGCAUUUAUUUCGCAUGAUCUUUCAAUUCCAGGCCAACACCUAUAGGUCGCAUGAUCUCCCCCUUCGAAUCUUGGUCGACGUAGAGUGGUUGGGAGGAGGAGGAUACACAGGGAGCGGCAACUUUGACAAAUGGAAGAGUUCGGGGUUGUUAAUGGCGACAAUAUGUCUUGGUUACCAAAAUAAAUGGCUUUCAUUACUCAUGUAG
rnacentral:rRNA from 1 species